rnacentral:rRNA from 1 species
UACAGAGGGUGCGAGCGUUAAUCGGAAUUACUGGGCGUAAAGCGUGCGUAGACGGUUAUUUAAGUCAGGUGUGAAAGCCCCGGGCUCAACCUGGGAAUUGCAUUUGAGACUGAAUAGCUAGGGUGCGGAAGAGGGAAGCGGAAUUUCCGGUGUAGCGGUGAAAUGCGUAGAUAUCGGAAGGAACACCAGUGGCGAAAGCGGCUUCCUGGUCCAGCACCGGACGUCAGGCACGAAAGCGUGGGGAGCAAACAGG